CCAGGGGAUCUGACACCCUCAUACCAAUGCACAUAAAAUAAAGUUAAGUCAAUUAUUUGGAAAAAGAAAAAAGAUUAUAGCUUUGUAUUGGGAAUUCCAAGGGCAAGUAAGGGUGACUGUUAACAUUGGUAUACUAACUCUGGCCAUGAGGUCCAUGAGAAGUUCCAGUCCGGUCCUCAGAAUGUAUAUUUUUUUAAUAUUGCAUCACCAUGAGAGGGCUGAGGACUAAUGUUAAAUAUUAUUUAUUAAAACAAUGCCUACUGGUACAUACAGAAAAUGGACUGAUGAAAUGGAACAGAGCCUAGAUAAAGAGCUAAGUCCACAAAGAUACUAGAGAUCUGUCUUAUCUACAUGUAGCCUCAAACUAGUCAUGGAAAAGAUGGGCUGUUCAGGAACAACCAGGUUAUCCUCUAGGGAAGAUAAGGGUGGUUUCUUAACCUGUAUUUUGUCCUAGGAUCCAUCCCAAAGGAUCAGAAUUUAAAAAGCAAAACCAUCAAUGAAAAUCAGAAAAACAAAUACUGGUGGAUUAACUGUCUUGGUCUGAAGUGAGGAAGACAUUCUAUGAGUUAAUACAGAAAUCACCAAAGAACUGGUAAAUCAGACCAUACAACAGCAUGAUAAAACCAUUAGAGCAAAGCCAAAAAACCAAUUGGAAGAAUAUGCCACUCCUCACACUUACGGAUUCAUCCUUCUAACAGGUGAGGUUCUAAUGGCCAUGUGGUAAAAGUGGACAAAGUUCAGGAAACUCCUUCCUGUAUUAAAAGUUGUUCAUUUUAUAUAGUUAGGCAGCAAAUGAAUAUUUUAAAUUUAUAUUCUAUCAGAACAUCUGAGUCUAGCAUUUGAAUGCCGUCUCUGAUGGUAAUGUGGGUGAGCAAGCACUGUCCAUCGGAAGAUGGUAUGUGAACUGGAGGGCAGCGUCUGAGUCAGUGCCUUUCCAAACUCUGUGUGUGUAGUGUUUCACUUUUGAAUACUUACUGUAGAGAUGUACGUAUACAAACAUGUAAUGACAUGUGGACAAGGUCUAGAAACCACCCAAAUGCCCGAGAAUGGUACUGCUCAACUAAAUAAUGACAGCCACAGUAAGGAUACCAAGCAACCACUAAAGUGAAAAAGCUAUCUGGUGAUAUGUGGCCAUUGAAUAUUAGGUGAUAAAAAGCAGAUGGUGUGUAUGUGAUGUCACUCCAAGUAAAGACAGA